UAAGAGRAAAAUCCGUCGACUUUAGAAAUCGUGAGG
rnacentral:tRNA from 1 species